CUGCAGUCAAUUAAGCUGACUGGGCGCCUUUGCUGGUGGGUGCCCAGUGUGCAGUGGCUGCAGACAGCAACCUCUUCAGUAGUGUAUGCAGCCUGUUACUUACAUGGGCUGCUUCAAGGGACCUUGGAGACACUG
rnacentral:snoRNA from 13 species